rnacentral:tRNA from 1 species
GGGUGAGAAGCUCAAUGGUCGUAGCUGGUAGCCCAUAACUACUCGGAAGAGAGUUCAAUUCUCUCCUCACCCACCA